GACGAACGCUGGCGGCGUGCUUAACACAUGCAAGUCGAACGGAAAGGCCCCUUUGGGGGUACUCGAGUGGCGAACGGGUGAGUAACACGUGAGUAACCUGCCCUUGACUUCGGGAUAACUUCAGGAAACUGGGGCUAAUACCGGCUAGGAAUCCUUGCUGCAUGGUUGGGGUUGGAAAGCUUCGGCGGUUUUGGAUGGACUCGCGGCUUAUCAGCUUGUUGGUGGGGUAGUGGCUUACCAAGGCUUUGACGGGUAGCCGGCCUGAGAGGGCGACCGGCCACAUUGGGACUGAGAUACGGCCCAGACUCCUACGGGAGGCAGCAGUGGGGAAUAUUGCACAAUGGGCGGAAGCCUGAUGCAGCAACGCCGCGUGCGGGAUGACGGCCUUCGGGUUGUAAACCGCUUUCAGCAGGGGCGAAGCUUGUGGUGACGGUACCUGCAGAAGAAGCACCGGCUAACUACGUG
rnacentral:rRNA from 1 species